rnacentral:rRNA from 2 species
AAUCCAUAGGUUAAUGAGGCGAACCGGGGGAACUGAAACAUCUAAGUACCCCGAGGAAAAGAAAUCAACCGAGAUUCCCCCAGUAGCGGCGAGCGAACGGGGAGGAGCCCAGAGCCUGAAUCAGCAUGUGUGUUAGUGGAAGCGUCUGGAAAGGCGCGCGAUACAGGGUGACAGCCCCGUACACAAAAGCGCAUGUGCUGUGAGCUCGAUGAGUAGGGCGGGACACGUGGUAUCCUGUCUGAAUAUGGGGGGACCAUCCUCCAAGGCUAAAUACUCCUGACUGACCGAUAGUGAACCAGUACCGUGAGGGAAAGGCGAAAAGAACCCCGGCGAGGGGAGUGAAAAAGAACCUGAAACCGUGUACGUACAAGCAGUGGGAGCACAGGUUUACCUGUGUGACUGCGUACCUUUUGUAUAAUGGGUCAGCGACUUAUAUUCUGUAGCAAGGUUAACCGAAUAGGGGAGCCGGAGGGAAACCGAGUCUUAAUUGGGCGUUAAGUUGCAGGGUAUAGACCCGAAACCCGGUGAUCUAGCCAUGGGCAGGUUGAAGGUUGGGUAACACUAACUGGAGGACCGAACCGACUAAUGUUGAAAAAUUAGCGGAUGACCUGUGGCUGGGGGUGAAAGGCCAAUCAAACCGGGAGAUAGCUGGUUCUCCCCGAAAGCUAUUUAGGUAGCGCCUCGUGAAUUCAUCUCCGGGGGUAGAGCACUGUUUCGGCUAGGGGGCCAUCCCGGCUUACCAACCCGAUGCAAACUGCGAAUACCGGAGAAUGUUAUCACGGGAGACACACGGCGGGUGCUAACGUCCGUCGUGAAGAGGGAAACAACCCAGACCGCCAGCUAAGGUCCCAAAGUCAUGGUUAAGUGGGAAACGAUGUGGGAAGGCCCAGACAGCCAGGAUGUUGGCUUAGAAGCAGCCAUCAUUUAAAGAAAGCGUAAUAGCUCACUGGUCGAGUCGGCCUGCGCGGAAGAUGUAACGGGGCUAAACCAUGCACCGAAGCUGCGGCAGCGACACUGUGUGUUGUUGGGUAGGGGAGCGUUCUGUAAGCCUGUGAAGGUGUGUCGUGAGGCAUGCUGGAGGUAUCAGAAGUGCGAAUGCUGACAUAAGUAACGAUAAAGCGGGUGAAAAGCCCGCUCGCCGGAAGACCAAGGGUUCCUGUCCAACGUUAAUCGGGGCAGGGUGAGUCGACCCCUAAGGCGAGGCCGAAAGGCGUAGUCGAUGGGAAACGGGUUAAUAUUCCCGUACUUGGUGUUACUGCGAAGGGGGGACGGAGAAGGCUAUGUUGGCCGGGCGACGGUUGUCCCGGUUUAAGCGUGUAGGUGUGUGUUCCAGGUAAAUCCGGUUCACUUUAACACUGAGGCGUGACGACGAGGCACUACGGUGCUGAAGCAACAAAUGCCCUGCUUCCAGGAAAAGCCUCUAAGCAUCAGGUAACAUCAAAUCGUACCCCAAACCGACACAGGUGGUCAGGUAGAGAAUACCAAGGCGCUUGAGAGAACUCGGGUGAAGGAACUAGGCAAAAUGGUGCCGUAACUUCGGGAGAAGGCACGCUGACACGUAGGUGAAGUGAUUUACUCAUGGAGCUGAAGUCAGUCGAAGAUACCAGCUGGCUGCAACUGUUUAUUAAAAACACAGCACUGUGCAAACACGAAAGUGGACGUAUACGGUGUGACGCCUGCCCGGUGCCGGAAGGUUAAUUGAUGGGGUCAGCGCAAGCGAAGCUCCUGAUCGAAGCCCCGGUAAACGGCGGCCGUAACUAUAACGGUCCUAAGGUAGCGAAAUUCCUUGUCGGGUAAGUUCCGACCUGCACGAAUGGCGUAAUGAUGGCCAGGCUGUCUCCACCCGAGACUCAGUGAAAUUGAACUCGCUGUGAAGAUGCAGUGUACCCGCGGCAAGACGGAAAGACCCCGUGAACCUUUACUAUAGCUUGACACUGAACAUUGAGCCUUGAUGUGUAGGAUAGGUGGGAGGCUUUGAAGUGUGGACGCCAGUCUGCAUGGAGCCGACCUUGAAAUACCACCCUUUAAUGUUUGAUGUUCUAACGUGGACCCGUUACCCGGGUUGCGGACAGUGUCUGGUGGGUAGUUUGACUGGGGCGGUCUCCUCCUAAAGAGUAACGGAGGAGCACGAAGGUUGGCUAAUCCUGGUCGGACAUCAGGAGGUUAGUGCAAUGGCAUAAGCCAGCUUGACUGCGAGCGUGACGGCGCGAGCAGGUGCGAAAGCAGGUCAUAGUGAUCCGGUGGUUCUGAAUGGAAGGGCCAUCGCUCAACGGAUAAAAGGUACUCCGGGGAUAACAGGCUGAUACCGCCCAAGAGUUCAUAUCGACGGCGGUGUUUGGCACCUCGAUGUCGGCUCAUCACAUCCUGGGGCUGAAGUAGGUCCCAAGGGUAUGGCUGUUCGCCAUUUAAAGUGGUACGCGAGCUGGGUUUAGAACGUCGUGAGACAGUUCGGUCCCUAUCUGCCGUGGGCGCUGGAGAACUGAGGGGGGCUGCUCCUAGUACGAGAGGACCGGAGUGGACGCAUCACUGGUGUUCGGGUUGUCAUGCCAAUGGCACUGCCCGGUAGCUAAAUGCGGAAGAGAUAAGUGCUGAAAGCAUCUAAGCACGAAACUUGCCCCGAGAUGAGUUCUCCCUGAGACUUAGAGUCUCCUGAAGGAACGUUGAAGACGACGACGUUGAUAGGCCGGGUGUGUAAGCGCAGCGAUGCGUUGAGCUAACCGGUACUAAUGAACCGUGAGGCUUAACCUUACAACGCCG